UACGUAGGGGGCAAGCGUUAUCCGGAUUUACUGGGUGUAAAGGGAGCGUAGACGGCUGUGCAAGCCAGAUGUGAAAGCCCGGGGCUCAACCCCGGGACUGCAUUUGGAACUGUGUGGCUGGAGUGUCGGAGAGGCAGGCGGAAUUCCUAGUGUAGCGGUGAAAUGCGUAGAUAUUAGGAGGAACACCAGUGGCGAAGGCGGCCUGCUGGACGAUGACUGACGUUGAGGCUCGAAAGCGUGGGGAGCAAACA
rnacentral:rRNA from 1 species